rnacentral:tRNA from 1 species
CGGGUUAAAGCUUUGAUGAAGCGAUUUAGUUACAUUAAGGGGAGUAUUGUUAAUAUAAUCCGA